UUACAUGUGGAAGUGUCUCUUCCUUAUUCUUUUAGGAGCAGGACUAUAUCCAUAACAUGCUACAUUGAAAGUUAUUAGGGCUGCCAGUCUAGUAGUAGAAGUUGAGUAAUAGUGUAUUUCUCCUACAUAA